CUGGGGUUCCCAUGGGGCUGGAGGCCCAAGAUUGCUGUGGCCAAGGCCCCUCCCUGUUUCCCUCACUGCCCCUGCCUGGCCUCCUCCUGCUCUGCCCCUGUGGCUGUCAGGCCUGAGGGUCGGGGUGGGGCGUGGGGAGAGUCCCUGACUCAGCUGGAUCUCCCUGUGGCAGGGUUGCUUCACCCACACCGUCAUGUACUACGGCCACUACAGUAACGCCACGCUGAACCAGCCGUGUGGCAGCCCCCUGGAUGGCAGCCAGUGCACACCCAGGGUGGGUGGCCUGCCCUACAACAUGCCCCUGGCCUACCUCUCCACUGUGGGCGUGAGCUUCUUUAUCACCUGCAUCACCCUGGUGUACAGCAUGGCUCACUCUUUCGGGGAGAGCUACCGGGUGGGCAGCACCUCUGGCAUCCACGCCAUCACCGUCUUCUGCUCCUGGGACUACAAGGUGACGCAGAAGCGGGCCUCCCGCCUCCAGCAGGACAAUAUUCGCACCCGGCUGAAGGUGAGUGGCCCCGGAGCACCAAGCUGGCCUGCCCAGCUCCCUGCA
rnacentral:sRNA from 1 species